AUUGAACGCUGGCGGCAGGCCUAACACAUGCAAGUCGAGCGGAUGAAGAGAGCUUGCUCUCUGAUUUAGCGGCGGACGGGUGAGUAAUGCCUAGGAAUCUGCCUGGUAGUGGGGGAUAACGUUCCGAAAGGAACGCUAAUACCGCAUACGUCCUACGGGAGAAAGCAGGGGACCUUCGGGCCUUGCGCUAUCAGAUGAGCCUAGGUCGGAUUAGCUAGUUGGUGAGGUAAUGGCUCACCAAGGCUACGAUCCGUAACUGGUCUGAGAGGAUGAUCAGUCACACUGGAACUGAGACACGGUCCAGACUCCUACGGGAGGCAGCAGUGGGGAAUAUUGGACAAUGGGCGAAAGCCUGAUCCAGCCAUGCCGCGUGUGUGAAGAAGGUCUUCGGAUUGUAAAGCACUUUAAGUUGGGAGGAAGGGCAGUAAGUUAAUACCUUGCUGUUUUGACGUUACCGACAGAAUAAGCACCGGCUAACUUCGUGCCAGCAGCCGCCGCAGUAA
rnacentral:rRNA from 1 species